rnacentral:rRNA from 1 species
AUUGAACGCUGGCGGAAUGCUUUACACAUGCAAGUCGAACGGUAGAGGGGGCAACCCCUUGAGAGUGGCGAACGGGUGAGUAAUAUAUCGGAACGUGCCCAGUCGUGGGGAUAACGUAGCGAAAGCUACGCUAAUACCGCAUACGAUCUACGGAUGAAAGCGGGGGAUCGCAAGACCUCGCGCGAUUGGAGCGGCCGAUAUCAGAUUAGGUAGUUGGUGAGGUAAAGGCUCACCAAGCCGACGAUCUGUAGCUGGUCUGAGAGGACGACCAGCCACACUGGGACUGAGACACGGCCCAGACUCCUACGGGAGGCAGCAGUGGGGAAUUUUGGACAAUGGCGCAAGCCUGAUCCAGCAAUGCCGCGUGCAGGAUGAAGG